rnacentral:tRNA from 1 species
GCAGACGUAGCUCAAUUGGUUAGAGCAUCCGCCUGUCACGCGGAAGGUUGCGAGUUCGAGUCUCGUCGUUUGCG